rnacentral:rRNA from 1 species
CUUUAAUCUAACUUUAUCUUGAUCUUAUCAAAAAGUGGAAAAAAUACUGUGUUUUUAGUUAUAAAUCUACACUAUAUUUUUAACCAUAUAAAAAAUGUAAAAAUUUUAAUUAAACUGGGGCUAGAUUCCCACUAUACUUUUAGUAAAUUAUCCAGAGUAUUAAAAAUAUGUUUCUAAACUCAAAAAACAUGGCAGUAUUUUACUCCUUGCAGAGGAAUUUGAAUAUAAAAUGAUAAUCCUCGUUUUAUUUUAUUUUAUUUUAUUUUGUGUGUGGUUGUUUAAAUUAAUAAUAAAUUAUAUCUUUUAGUUCAGAUUACAUGUAAAUAUAUUAAAGUUUAUUUUAAUUACAAAUAAAAAUUUUUAGGAUUUGCAAGUAAUAAAAAAUUAUAUUUUUUUAUGUUGAGGUUAUAAAAUGUGUACAUAUUGUCCGUCACUCUCUGAGAA